rnacentral:RNase_P_RNA from 2 species
ACGGUGAGCCGUCUUAUCGCUGCCCCUUUGGGGGAGAGGAAAGUCCGGGCAACACAGAGCAUCCUACUUCCUAACGGGAAGGGUCCUGCGCAAGUGGGAUACAGCCAGUGCCACAGAAAAUAACCGCCGGGCUAAUUAUAAUGUCGAAUGAUGAAUGACUAAUUAUUCAUUAUUAAUUAAUCAUUAUUGAUUCGUCCGGUAAGGGUGAAAAGGUGCGGUAAGAGCGCACCAGCGGCUGGGUGACCAGUCCGGCUGGGUAAACCUUAGGAGUUGAAAGACCAAAUAGGCCGGCAGCGUCUCGCUUCGGCGGGGCUAAGGGCUGCUCGUCCGAUGUCGGUGGGUAGGUCGAUGGAGCCUGUGCGCGAGUGCAGGCCUAGAUAAAUGAUAAGACGUUGGGUGCAAGCCCAGCGACAGAACCCGGCUUACAGGCUCAUCGUUGAU